rnacentral:lncRNA from 1 species
CCAUUCACAAAUAGGUGCAAGACCGUCAUUGAGUCCCUCAACUAACAAUUAUAGGACCCAACCCCAUCCUUACCCUGGAGCAACUCUUUGCUAAUAUAGUGGUUGCAUGUUUUCAGUGCAACUGAACCAUUGUAACCAGCCAAGAAUAAUCAACACCAGUAGCACGCCCGCACAUCUACAAUGAUGGAAGACCUAUGGACUAAUAUUUAUGGAAAAGUUUAGG